GGGAAUGAACAUGAUACACAGUAUUUGUCACCUAAUGAUUGCCAGGUUUUCUUCAACUCAUCAGAAUGAAUAAGUUUUGUUCCCUUUCUCCUUCACUGCUCCAUUUGUAUUCUUGCAAAUUCUUGUGCUGGGUUGAAGAGGAUGACCUUCCCCAACACAGGAAGACUGUUCUUUGGCUAUGGGUAUAGGAGUAGCAACAUGCUCAUUUCUAAAAGCUCCAAACAUGUUCCAAUGUAAUAAUCAAAUGAAUCUUG
ensembl:misc_RNA 7SK 7SK RNA